rnacentral:rRNA from 1 species
UUUGUCGCAUGGCAUUUGUAUUAAACGCUCCGGCGCCAUAGGAUGGACCCGCGUCCCAUUAGCUAGUUGGUGAGAUAACAGCUCACCAAGGCCACGAUGGGUAACCGGUCUGAGAGGGCGAACGGUCACACUGGAACUGAGACACGGUCCAGACUCCUACGGGAGGCAGCAGUGGGGAAUAUUGCGCAAUGGGGGCAACCCUGACGCAGCAAUACCGCGUGAGUGAAGAAGGUUUUCGGAUCGUAAAGCUCUGUUAUUGGGGAAGAAAAAAAGACGGUACCCAAGAAGAAAGUUCCGGCUAACUACGUGCCAGCAGCCGCGGUAAUACGUAGGGAACAAGCGUUGUCCGGAUUUACUGGGCGUAAAGGGCACGCAGGCGGUUUUUUAAGUCAGAUGUGAAAGGCCACAGCUCAACUGUGGACAUGCAUUUGAAACUGAAAGACUUGAGUAUUGGAGAGGCAAGUGGAAUUCCUAGUGUAGCGGUGGAAUGCGUAGAUAUUAGGAGGAACACCGGUGGCGAAGGCGGCUUGCUGGACAAAUACUGACGCUG